CGAUCCGGUAGACGCUACGGACUUAAAUAAUUUGAGCGUUAGUAGAAAAACUUACUAAAUGCUAGCUUUCAGAUUCAGGGAAACUUAGGUUGAUAAAAAUAUAAGCAAUCCUGAGCCAAAUCUUAUUUCGUUUGAAAAUAAAAUAGGUGCAGAGACUCAAUGGAAGCUAUCCUAACGAAUAACAUUUUAAAAAUUAUUUAAAAUUUAUUUUUUAGAUAUUAAGCGAGGAUAAAGAUAGAGUCCAAUUUUACAUGUUAAUUUUAGCAACAAUUUAAAUUGUAGUAGAAAGAAAAUCCGUUGGCUUUAUUGACCGUGAGGGUUCAAGUCCCUCUACCCCCA
rnacentral:tRNA from 1 species